rfam:Otolemur garnettii contig102021, whole genome shotgun sequence.
GGAUCUGAGAGUAAUCUAGCUGCAACAUCUGUCACCCCACUGAUUGGCAGGGUUGAUUCAGCUGCUCUGGGGGGCUACAGUGUCUGCUUCCUCCCUCUUCACUCCAUGUGCAUCCCUGUCAAAGCUGUGUACUCAAGUCAAAGAGGACAACAUUGCCAGAUCAUUCUUUGGUCAAGGGAAUAUAAGUAGUUGUAUAUCCCUGCUAGACCCUCUAGCUGUGUACUCAAGUCAAAGAGGACAACAUUGCCAGAUCAUUCUUUGGUCAAGGGAAUAUAAGU